rnacentral:lncRNA from 1 species
GUACUUAGUUCUUUACAUCAUUCUCAAAAGGCUGAAUACUGAUACAAGGUGAGUAGUUUUAAUCAUUACUGAUUUCAUAAAGUACUUGAGUUUUGAGUAGGAUUUUGAAGGAGUGGAAAGACACUCCACUAAAGAGAUAUACAGUGGACCUACCAGAAGGAAUGGAUGUAAAAGGUGGGCUUGACAAGUGUACAUGGCAGAAAAGAACAAAGUCUGAAUUGACACUGAGAAGUGCUGGCUUCUAUUCUUAACAACCAAGGAGGGAAGACUUCGGAGCCUCAUUUACUCCUCAGCAAAUCAGGCCUAAAGGACCUCUAGCAUCAUGUCUGGCUCCAAAAUUCCACGGAUGUGUCAUUUUAACAUCACUGGUGAUUAUGAAAGCAAAUAUUUUCUCUGUACAAGUAAGAGUGGAAAGUGUAGCAUCUUAGGAACUGAUAACUUUCACAUGAGGGUGAUGAGCCAGGAUACAGAGUCACACACGGAAGGAAUUUAGGAGCCAUUUAAAUGUCUAUGAUGUUUGAAAAUCCUGGAAAACACAUAAUAGAAAGCAAUCAUUUACUGAUACCAAGGCAGAGAGAGUCUAGACAAAUUAGGGCUGGGUGAAUGUCUUCUAAAGUUCAUUAUUCCUAUAUAGUUUUGCUUCUGAUUGACACUAGAACAUGACUGACAGAAUCUCCUAUUCUGGGUUAGAUGGCUGUGAUUUAAACAUCUCAGCAUUUUCCCAGAAGAAUCAGACUCACAAAAUGAAAGGAUCCAACCAGAAGUUUAUUGUGUAGUAAUUACACAUCUUAACUCCCCUUCAACCUUCACUACACUGCACUUUCACUACUCAUCAAUGCGGGCAGGAAGGACGGGUGCAGCCAGACGAGAACAUUUAAGAAACAAGCAAUUUGUGUGUGUCUAUAUAGUUCAGUGAUGCUACUGCAAGGGAAUACAAAACCAGGCACCAGGCUCUGGAAAGAAAGAGACGUUUCCCAAUCUCAUUUUUCCCAUCGGCGCUGCCGGAAAUAGCGAUUGUAGGCAGCAUCGUAUCCGUAAACCAUAGCAUAGCGUUCGCAAAGUUUGAAGUCCUCACAGGCUUCCCGGUUGAGCUCAUGGGCAGGCUUGGUGCUUUCUCGGAUCCUAGAAAGAGGAAAACAAGAGACAAACUGAGAAGCAGAAAGAGAGUGGAGAAAAUAAGAAAAAGGAAAAGGAAAAAAAGAAAGAAUAAGAAAAUCGCAGAGAAAUAGCCCAUUUGCCGCCAAUAUUAAGAGAGAUUUGAAAAGCAGGGAGGAAAG